rnacentral:rRNA from 1 species
AGUGAACGCUGGCGGUAGGCCUAACACAUGCAAGUCGAACGGCGGCACAGUAAGAGCUUGCUCUUACGGGUGGCGCGUGGCGGACGGGUGAGGAAUACAUCGGAAUCUACUUUUUCGUGGGGGAUAACGUAGGGAGACUUACGCUAAUACCGCAUACGACCUACGGGUGAAAGCAGGGGAUCUUCGGACCUUGCGCGAUUGAAUGAGCCGAUGUCGGAUUAGCUAGUUGGCGGGGUAAAGGCCCACCAAGGCGACGAUCCGUAGCUGGUCUGAGAGGAUGAUCAGCCACACUGGAACUGAGACACGGUCCAGACUCCUACGGGAGGCAGCAGUGGGGAAUAUUGGACAAUGGGCGCAAGCCUGAUCCAGCCAUACCGCGUGGGUGAAGAAGGCCUUCGGGUUGUAAAGCCCUUUUGUUGGGAAAGAAAAGCAGCAGGUUAAUACCCCGCUGUUCUGACGGUACCCAAAGAAUAAGCACCGGCUAACUUCGUG